rnacentral:rRNA from 1 species
GGAUUAGAUACCCUGGUAGUCCUAGCUGUAAACGAUGGAUACUAGACGUAGGAACUGGAUUGACGGUUUCUGUGUCGCAGCUAACGUUUUAAGUUGUCCGCCUGGGGAGUACGGCCGCAAGGCUAAAACUCAAAUGAAUUGACGGGGACCCGCACAAGCGGUGGAGCAUGUGGUUUAAUUCGAUGCAACGCGAAAAACCUUACCUACUCUUGACAUACUUGGAAGCUCUUGUAAUGAGAGUGUGCCUUUUGGAGCCAAGAUACAGGUGCUGCAUGGCUGUCGUCAGCUCGUGCCG